GGCCUUGACAUGCAGAGAACUUUCCAGAGAUGGAUUGUGCCUUCGGGAACUCUGACACAGGUGCUGCAUGGCUGUCGUCAGCUCGUGUCGUGAGAUGUUGGGUUAAGUCCCGUAACGAGCGCAACCCUUGUCCUUAGUUACCAGCACGUUAUGGUGGGCACUCUAAGGAGACUGCCAGUGACAAACCGGAGGAAGGUGGGGAUGACGUCAAGUCAUCAUGGCCCCUACGGCCUGGGCUACACACGUGCUACAAUGGUCGGUACAAAGGGUUGCCAAGCCGCGAGGUGGAGCUAAUCCCAUAAAACCGAUCGUAGUCCGGAUCGCAGUCUGCAACUCGACUGCGUGAAGUCGGAAUCGCUAGUAAUCGUGAAUCAGAAUGUCACGGUGAAUACGUUCCGGGGCCUU
rnacentral:rRNA from 1 species